GGGGCCAUUUUGGGUGGGUUUGGGGACAUUUUGGGUCACUUUGGCGCCAUUUUGGGUGGGUUUGGGUCACUCUGGGGCCAUUUUGGGUGGUUUUGGGACAUUUUGGGUGGGUUUGGGGCCAUUUUGGGCGUCUCUGACCUCUCCGUGCCUCCCAGCCGCGGCGUCCCCGGCGCUGCCGCGCGGCCGCAAGGGCCGGAAGGCGCCGAAGGUUCCGGAAGCGCCGGCGGCCGAGUGGCUGCUGCAGGACGAGGCCUUCCGCAAGCACCUGCGCCACCAGAGCGGGAAGUGAGUCCGGAUUUUGGGGUCGUUUCUGGGGAUUUUGGGUCAUUUUGGGUCAUUUAUGGGGAUUUUGGGGUGAUUUAUGGGGAUUUGGGGGUUUUGGGGUAAGUUUUGGGGUUUUUGGGGUUGUUUUUGGGGUCAUGUUUGGCCUUCCGGAAGCACCUGCAGCACCAGAGCGGGAAGUGAGUCCAGAUCCUGGAUUUUGGGGUCAUUUCCUGCGAUUUUGGGUCAUUUUGGGUCAUUUUGGCAUUUUUGGGGUGAUUUUUGUGGGAUUUGGGGUUUUUGGGGUCGUUUUUGUGGGAUUUUGGAGUCAUUUUAUGGGGUUUGGGGUUUUUGGGGUCGUUUUUAGGGGAUUUGGGGUUUUUGGGGUCAUUCUGUUAACUAUCUGUGUGUCCAUCUCUCUGUCCCUGUGUCCGUCUGUCCAUCCUGUGUCCACCUGUCCAUCCGUCCAUCCCGUGUUCAUCCUGCGUGUCCAUCCUGUGUCCAUCCUAUGUCCAUCUGUCCGUUCAUCCUGUGUCCGUCUGUCCAUCUGUCCACCCGUCCAUCUGUCCAUCCUGUGUCCAUCUGUCCAUGUGUCCAUCCAUCCAUCCUGUGUCCAUCCUAUGUCCAUCCGUCUGUCUGUCCGUCCCAUGUCCAUCUGUCCAUCCCGUGUCCGUCUGUCCGUGUGUCCAUCUGUCCAUCUGUCCAUGCGUCCGUCUGUCCAUGUGUCCAUCUGUCUAUCUGUCCAUCCCGUGUCCAUCUGUCCAUCCUCUGUCCAUCUGUCCAUCUGUCUGUCUAUCCUGUGUCCAUCCUGUGUCUAUCUGUCCGUGUCCAUCUGUUUAUCUGUCCAUCCAUCCUGUGUCCAUCCCGUGUCCAUCCCACAUGUCCAUCCCGUGUCCGUCUGUCCAUCCUGUGUCCAUCUGUCCAUCCUGCGUCCAUCCCGCAUCCAUCCCGUGUCCAUCCUGUGUCCAUCUGUCCAUCNGUCUGUCCAUGUGUCCAUCUGUCCAUGUGUUCAUCUGUCCCUGUGUCCGUCCGUCCAUCCUGUGUCCAUCCUGUGUCCAUCUGUCCAUCUGUCCAUGUGUCCACAUCUGUCCAUCUGUCCGUCCAUCCGUCUGUCCAUCUGUUCAUCUGUCCAUCCUGUGUCCAUCCUGUAUCCAUCCCGUGUCCAUCCCGUGUCCAUCUGCUCAUCUGUCUGUCCAUCCCACGUGUCCGUCCCGUGUCCUUGUGUCCGUGUCCAUGUGUCCAUCCUGUGUCCAUCCGUCCAUCCCAUCUGUCCAUCCGUCCAUUCUGUGUCCAUCUGUCCAUCCCUUGUCCAUCCUGUGUCCAUCCUGUGUCCAUCCCACGUGUCCAUUGUGUGUCCGUCUGUCUGUGUGUCCGUGUGUCCGUCCGUCCAUCCCUUCUGGGUCCAUCCCGUGUCCCUCUGUCCGUGUGUCCGUCUGUCCGUGUGUCCGUCCGUCUGUCCGUGUGUCCAUCUGUC
rnacentral:lncRNA from 1 species